rnacentral:rRNA from 1 species
AUUGAACGCUGGCGGCAUGCCUUACACAUGCAAGUCGAACGGCAGCACGGGAGCAAUCCUGGUGGCGAGUGGCGAACGGGUGAGUAAUGUAUCGGAACGUGCCCAGUCGUGGGGGAUAACGCAGCGAAAGCUGUGCUAAUACCGCAUACGAUCUAUGGAUGAAAGCGGGGGAUCGCAAGACCUCGCGCGAUUGGAGCGGCCGAUAUCAGAUUAGCUAGUUGGGGGGGUAAAGGCUCACCAAGGCGACGAUCUGUAGCUGGUCUGAGAGGACGACCAGCCACACUGGAACUGAGACACGGUCCAGACUCCUGCGGGAGGCAGCAGUGGGGAAUUUUGGACAAUGGGCGCAAGCCUGAUCCAGCAAUGCCGCGUGCAGGAUGAAGGCCUUCGGGUUGUAAACUGCUUUUGUACGGAGCGAAAAGGCUCUCUCUAAUACAGGGGGCUCAUGACGGUACCGUAAGAAUAAGCACCGGCUAACUACGUGCCAGCCGCCGCCGUAAUAC